rnacentral:rRNA from 1 species
GAUGAACGCUAGCGGCAGGCCUAACACAUGCAAGUCGAGGGGGAAGUUACUUUCGGGUAACUGAGACCGGCGUACGGGUGCGUAACGCGUAUACAAUCUGCCUUUCACUGGGGGAUAGCCCGAAGAAAUUUGGAUUAAUACCCCAUAGUAUAGUAGUGUGGCAUCACACAACUAUUAAAGCUUAGGUGGUGAAAGAUGAGUAUGCGUUCUAUUAGCUAGUUGAAGAGGUAACGGCUCCCCAAGGCUAUGAUAGAUAGGGGUUCUGAGAGGGAUGUCCCCCACACUGGUACUGAGAUACGGACCAGACUCCUACGGGAGGCAGCAGUGAGGAAUAUUGGACAAUGGUCGGAAGACUGAUCCAGCCAUGCCGCGUGCAGGAUGAAGGUCUUAUGGAUUGUAAACUGCUUUUGUAAGGGAAGAAUAAGGACUACGUGUAGUUUGAUGACGGUACCUUAUGAAUAAGCAUCGGCUAACUCCGUG